ensembl:lncRNA
UCUCAGAGAGGCUAAGCAAGUCACCCAUGUUCAUACAGCUGAAAAGCACCAGAGUUUCUAUCCAGAGGGCCAGCGCAUCCUUUGCCAUACCAAAGCCAAGGAAAGGGAUGAGGGCCUCCAGCUGGACCUUCGGCUUGGUGCCUCCUCACUGGCUGGACCCAAGACUCUGUCCAUGGUGCUAACCCUCAUCCCACGCCUUGCCUCAACCCUGCACUCCUGACCGCCAACUUCUGAAGACAUCCUCAUCUCGGGGAUGAAUUCUGAGCUCACAUUCUGGACUGCUGCCAGGAAGAAGGAAGCGGCGUUAGUUUAAAGCGUCACACAAAAGGCCGCAGCAGAAAUCAGCAGCUCGUGAUGGCCGUCUUGUGUGAAGGGAGGCUGUGUGUGGAGAAAGUUCAACCCCAAAGGAAGAGCUCCGAAGAGCAUGCAGGUUCCACGCUGUAUCCCCCUUGACUUAGGACACCUGUGAAGGCUGGAAUGUGCAUGGUAUCAACACCAGGAGCCUUUAGGAAUGUUGGAUCCUUCAUUUGCAUGCCUUCCUCCCAGACCCUUUGCCAGCCAGCUCUGUGCUUUGGAUGUUAGAAGCUGCCUCAAGGAAUCCACCCUUCAGAUCCCCUGGUCCUCCUGUCGAGCACCCAUCCCUCUCUUUGGAGUCCUGUGAAGUUAGAGAUGUGUGGCCUGCUGAACAGAGCUUCACAGUAACCCACAUAUAGAUGUCUGCCAGGUGAAGGUGUGAAUGAGUGGCUUGCGGACAGACAGCGGUGAGCCCUGGAUGCAGAGUUGUUUGUGGAGAGCCGUUUGAAGCUUUUGCUAGAGACUUCAUUGUGCAGCACUUGCUGAGCUCAGCCCCGUGGCUCCUUGGCACUCCAGGCUCCAACAGGGCCAACUUCUUCACCAUCUCCAGAGAGGAAGUUUCCCUGCUUCUCGGGGCUUGGCAGAUCACUCUAAGGCACUCUUUUCCCCAACCCCCAGCCAUGGGAUGCCAGGCAUUACAGUAGCCUUCUCUCCUGAUGAAUGCCAACAAUAUCCUUUUAGCAGAGCCAGAGCCCCUGGGUCCGGCCUGCCCGAGACCCUAGCGGCUGCAUUCUCUGAUUGUCCGCUGUGCUGGAAGCAAAGGCCCAUUAGGCUUAGCCUCUGCCAUGUGGAAAUAACCCACUGAGAGGCAAGGAGCACAGUGGUGGGAUGUCUUAGCCAAGUGCUGAUUUCUUGCCGUUCCUCGGGAGAAGCAUGGCCUCUCAGCUCUGUCCUGGCAGCUGGAGGCCUGUCACAUGCCUCUUGCCCAAGCUGUGGUUGUUAAGAUGCUGGGCACAGUAGGAGAGACCCAGGCUUGACUAUGAAGAGCUGGGAACUUGAGCAUUCUCAUCAACAGGCAGCACCACCCUGAUGCCUUGGCUUUACAUGGGGGUCCUCAAACCUGCAUCCAGCUUUGUUCAGUCACCACAGGACCAAGCCAGAUGCUGGUUAUAGUGCUAAGAUGAAGGGCUGUUGCAGUUAGGAGGUCAAACUGUGGUUGGAGAAAGGAUUAGAUCAGAUGACAAAUGAGGAGUAGACAUGGGGUCAAGGGCAUGAUUAGGGACCAGGUAAGAUUAAAUAGGUAUGGAGACACUGGAGUUGUACCUUAGCAGUAGAACACAUUUUCACUAUGCAGAAGAACCUGAAUUCAAUUAACAGAUGACAAAAAUUUUGCACAUAUAUGUAUAUAUACAUAUAAAGGUCUACACCUCUGAGGUGGGAAGUGGUGUUGGGAUUGUUGCUCUUAGCUAUAGGAUUUAAAGGGGAACCCAUCUUGCUUUUAAUAUCAUGGAUGGGACUGGGGUUAAAGCUGAAAUUAUAGUUAUAACAAAGAUUGGAUAUAGGUUUAGAGAUGAAGAGAGGCUCAAGCUGGUUGUGGCAGGAUUGCAGGCCUGUUGUUAGUAUAAAGUCAGAUUUGAUUUGAUUCAGAAUUGGGCCUGAGAGUGAUUGGGAAAUGGUGUCAUCUGCCAAGCAAGGCAAGUACUUUCUCAGCAGGUGAAAAAAGUCAAAACAGGACAACAGUAGUCCUCUCAAGAGUCCUCUCCCACUUCCCCCACCACUGCUUGCCUUCCCAUCCUACCCCCAUCAACCUCAAACUCCAUCCCCUAGUCUUAGGCAAAACCUGGGUUCAAAGGUCAUUUCCUUACUGCCCUCAGCAGACAGAACUGUCCGGGUCUGAGCUGUGCCUUUUCUAGCCAGCUGCAUUAUGUAGUGUCCUCCAGGAAGGAGCAGAGUGGGAACCAAGACAUGCUGGUAGGCUCCAUCAGCUACACCUCAUCCCAGGGGUGAGUGGGGACAUGGGUGCAUGACGUCCACCCCCUUCCUGCCCCUUACCACUGCCCUGACCUCUCGCCAUCGUUCUGAAAAGGCCCCAGUCUCUGCCUGCCCCUUCUCACUUCUCAGGGUGACAGCCUGACAUCCUCCAGCACUCAGCGCCGGGGUCAGGCUUUUAAAGCUGUCUUUGG